rnacentral:tRNA from 1 species
GACUUGAUAGCUCAAGUGGUAGAGCAGCGGCGUUUUAAGCCGAAGAUCGUGGGUUCGAAUCCCGCUCAAGACA